CCCUUUCUUUUGACUCAGCUACCACUUGCCCUUUUUCUUUGCCUUUUUCCCUCCUCGUCAACUAAUCAAUGCGAAGGCAACAUAGAAAAGGACAUCUUAAAUCCCAAGACUAUGCAUCUCUUUCUUCUUUCUUUCAGCAAGUUAAUGAGCCUUUGUUGAAUGGAAAAAUGGCAGCUUUCUCGUGGACUCUCUCAAAGCUCAGAGAGACUCAAAUAAUUCAGCAACAAAACCCCAUCUCUGGCAUCCAUGGGGGCCCCCACCUGGUUGGGCUUUUAGCAGGCAAGCUCGUACAACCAUUGCCA
rnacentral:lncRNA from 1 species